UAGUAAAUGACAGGGUAUUACUAAUGUG
rnacentral:piRNA from 1 species